rnacentral:rRNA from 1 species
GACGAACGCUGGCGGCGUGCUUAACACAUGCAAGUCGAACGGCAACGCCCUGCUUUUGUGCUGUGCUCGAGUGGCGAACGGGUGAGUAACACGUGAGUAACUUGCCCUUGAUUUUGGGAUAACUUCAGGAAACUGGAGCUAAUACCCGUAAGGUGCUCCUGCUGCAUGGUGGGGGUUGGAAAGUUUCGGCGGUUGGGGUUGGACCCGCGGCUUAUCGGCUUGUUGGUGGGGUAGUGGCGUACCAAGGCCUUGACGGGUCGCCGGCCAGAGAAGGUGCCCGGCGACAAUGGGACUAAGGGAAGGACCAGACGGCAACUGGAGGCAGUGGGGGAGAAUAUGGCACAACGAGGGGAAGCCUGAGACAGCAACGCCCGGUGCGGGAUGCCGGCCUUCGGGUAAUGAACCCCUUUCGCCUGUGACGAAGCGGGAGUGACGGUACCGGGAGAAGAAGCACCGGCUAACUACGUG